AGGGUGGGGAGGGGGUUUCCACCCACAAAAGAAAGACUAUAUAAACCCCUGGAAACCCCUCCAUUUUGUCUUCAGCUGGCUCAGAAGGUAGCCUCU